AGAGUUUCGAUCCUGGCUCAGGACGACGCUGCGGCGUGCUUAACACAUGCAAGUCGAACGGUAAGGCCCCUUCGGGGGUACACGAGUGGCGAACGGGUGAGUAACACGUGAGCAACCUGCCCUUGACUCUGGAAUAACAGUUGGAAACAGCUGCUAAUACUGGAUAUUCAUCGUUCCUUCCUGGGGGUGGUGGAAAGCUCCGGCGGUCAGGGAUGGGCUCGCGGCCUAUCAGCUUGUUGGUGAGGUAAUGGCUCACCAAGGCUUCGACGGGUAGCCGGCCUGAGAGGGCGACCGGCCACACUGGGACUGAGAUACGGCCCAGACUCCUACGGGAGGCAGCAGUGGGGAAUAUUGCACAAUGGGCGCAAGCCUGAUGCAGCAACGCCGCGUGCGGGAUGACGGCCUUCGGGUUGUAAACCGCUUUCAGUAGGGACGAAGGGUGACUGACGGUACCUACAGUAAGAAGGACCGGCUAACUACGUG
rnacentral:rRNA from 1 species